rnacentral:tRNA from 14 species
GGCUGCACGGUGGUGUAGUGGUUAGCACCUCGCCUCACAGCAAGAAUUCUGGGUUCGAAUCCCGGUUCAACCA